rnacentral:rRNA from 1 species
UACGUAGGGGGCUAGCGUUGUUCGGAAUCAUUGGGCGUAAAGCGCACGUAGGCGGACUUUUAAGUCAGGGGUGAAAUCCCGAGGCUCAACCUCGGAACUGCCUUUGAUACUGGGAGUCUUGAGUGUGGUAGAGGUUGGUGGAACAGCAAGCGUAGAGGUGAAAUUCGUAGAUAUUUGCUAGAACACCAGUGGCGAAGGCGGCCAACUGGACCAUAACUGACGCUGAGGUGCGAAAGCGUGGGGAGCAAACAGG